rnacentral:lncRNA from 1 species
UUGCUUUUGUCUCUGCAGUGUGCCAGCCAGAAGCAUAAAAACAAAAGAUGUACAGGAAACAAAGAGAAUGACAAACAUCAUAAUGCUUGAAGAAUAGGGACCAUGGUGAUGACAUCUUUAUAGAGAAUGGAAAUAGUUUAAAAGCACUGCUUUAUUUACCAUAACCACAGGGUUCCUUGAAGAGGGUCCUUAAACAGCUGGAAGAAGAGAAGAAAAGUCUCCAGAAUCAGCUAAAAGACUAUGAACUUAGACUGGAACCUUAGAAGAAGCAAAGGCUUACCACAAAGUUAAUGAUGAGCGGCUCACGGACCUCUCAGAGAUCUUACAGGUCUCAGCUAAACUUAAAAUUAUUGAAAGGCAACAAAAAGAUGCUGUGACUGGCAAAGGAGAAAAACGGAUACUGAGAGGAAGACACAGUGUUCCAGGAAACCCGAAGAUGGUUUAUCCUCAAAAAUGAUCAAUUAAAACUACGGUAGGAGUGAACCAGCUUUCACAACUAAAGCAUUGAAGUAAUAUUAAUGUCAAGAACUUCCAGUCACUUUUUAAAAAAUUUAAUUUGAC